rnacentral:lncRNA from 1 species
AGUUGUCAGAGGCCAUAGGAGCUAAAGAGUCUGUGCAGAUGAGCUCUGGAGUCCCAGGAACUUGGCUUCUAAAAUGAAAAGGAGGUUUUGGGGAGAGUCUGGCAGUGUCGAUGCUUCCAGCAGAUGAAGAAUCAACCCCACCUGCAGCUGGUGUUGAAACUGGAAAACCUAAAAAGUUUUAUCUCCUCAUGAACCAUGAAGAUUCUUUUCAAGUGUGAAACAUAUCAUCUUUAGAACUGAACACCUUCUCAACUGAACUUAAAGGAGAAAAUAAGUGCAAUAUUGGGAACUACAUUUAAAUGAAGAUAAGGUAGAAGACAGAACUGUUACAAGUAUGU